UACGAAGGGGGCUAGCGUUGUUCGGAAUUACUGGGCGUAAAGCGCACGUAGGCGGGUUGUUAAGUCAGGGGUGAAAUCCUGGAGCUCAACUCCAGAACUGCCUUUGAUACUGGCAACCUAGAGACUGGAAGAGGUUAGUGGAAUUCCCAGUGUAGAGGUGAAAUUCGUAGAUAUUCGCAAGAACACCAGUGGCGAAGGCGGCUCACUGGCCCAAUACUGACGCUGAGGCACGAAAGCGUGGGGAGCAAACAGG
rnacentral:rRNA from 1 species